AUUGAACGCUAGCGGGAUGCUUUACACAUGCAAGUCGAACGAGUGGCGGACGGGUGAGUAAUAUAUGGGAACGUGCCCGGUAGCGGGGGAUAACUACUGGAAAGGGUAGCUAAUACCGCAUACUAUCGGAUCUGCCCAGAUCGGAUUAGCUAGUUGGUGGGGUAACGGCUCACCAAGGCAACGAUCCGUAGCUGGUCUGAGAGGACGACCAGCCACACUGGGACUGAGACACGGCCCAGACUCCUACGGGAGGCAGCAGUGGGGAAUUUUGGACAAUGGGGGAAACCCUGAUCCAGCCAUCCCGCGUGUAUGAGAAGGCCUUCGGGUUGUAAAGUACUUUUGGCAGGGAAGCGUUACCUGCAGAAGAAGCACCGGCUAACUCCGUGCCAGCCGCCGCGGUAAUUC
rnacentral:rRNA from 1 species